GACGAACGCUGGCGGCGUGCUUAACACAUGCAAGUCGAACGGUGAAGCGCUUGCCUUUUUGGUGGGUGUGGAUGAGUGGCGAACGGGUGAGUAACACGUGAGUAACCUGCCCUCUUCUUCUGGAUAACCUCAUGAAAGUGGGGCUAAUACGGGGUAUUCCGGGUCUGUCGCAUGGCGGGUUUGGGAAAGAUUGCGCCUUUGGGUGUUUUCGGUGGGGGAUGGGCUCGCGGCCUAUCAGCUUGUUGGUGGGGUGAUGGCCUACCAAGGCGGUGACGGGUAGCCGGCCUGAGAGGGUGGACGGCCACACUGGGACUGAGACACGGCCCAGACUCCUGCGGGAGGCAGCAGUGGGGAAUAUUGCACAAUGGGCGCAAGCCUGAUGCAGCGACGCCGCGUGAGGGAUGGAGGCCUUCGGGUUGUGAACCUCUUUCGCCAGUGAAGCAGGCCUGCUCCUGUGUGGGUGGGUUGACGGUAGCUGGAUAAGAGGCGCCGGCUAACUACGUG
rnacentral:rRNA from 1 species